GGAUGAACCUACUAAUCAUCUUGACCUUCGGGCUGUACUAUGGUUAGAGGAGUACCUGUGCAGAUGGAAGAAAACUCUGGUUGUUGUUUCACAUGAUCGAGACUUUCUGAACACUGUUUGCAAUGAGAUUAUCCAUCUCCAUGACAUGAAACUGCACUUCUAUCGGGGUAACUUUGAUGGUUUUGGAACACUGUUUGCAAUGAGAUUAUUCAUCUCCAUGACUUGAAACUGCACUUCUAUCGGGGUAACUUUGAUGGUUUUGAAAGUGGAUAUGAACAACGCCGCAAAGAGAUGAACAAGAAGUUUGAGAUUUAUGAUAAGCAGUUAAAAGCUGCCAAGAGAUCUGGAAAUCGAGCACAACAGGAGAAGGUAAAAGACCGAGCCAAAUUUGUAGUUGCCAAAGAAUCAAAGAAAAAGGGCAAGGAUAGGGUUGAUGAAGAUGAAACUCCACCUGAAGCCCCUCAGAAGUGGAGGGACUACACCGUGGAGUUCCACUUCCCUGAGCCUACUGAACUGACACCUCCACUUCUUCAGCUAAUUGAGGUCAGCUUCAGCUACCCUAAUAGACCAGACUUUAGGCUCGCUGAUGUUGAUGUUGGAAUUGAUAUGGGGACUCGAGUUGCUAUUGUUGGGCCCAAUGGAGCAGGAAAAUCGACCUUGCUUAACCU
rnacentral:lncRNA from 1 species